rnacentral:rRNA from 1 species
UGGGGAAUAUUGGACAAUGGGCGAAAGCCUGAUCCAGCCAUGCCGCGUGUGUGAAGAAGGUCUUCGGAUUGUAAAGCACUUUAAGUUGGGAGGAAGGGCAGUUACCUAAUACGUGAUUGUUUUGACGUUACCGACAGAAUAAGCACCGGCUAACUCUGUGCCAGCAGCCGCGGUAAUACAGAGGGUGCAAGCGUUAAUCGGAAUUACUGGGCGUAAAGCGCGCGUAGGCGGUUUAUUAAGUCAGAUGUGAAAUCCCAGGGCUUAACCCUGGAACUGCAUUUGAAACUAAUAAACUUGAGUUAGGUAGAGGAGAGUGGAAUUCCCAGUGUAGAGGUGAAAUUCGUAGAUAUUGGGAGGAACAUCGGAGGCGAAGGCGGCUCUCUGGACCUAAACUGACGCUAAGGUGCGAAAGCGUGGGUAGCAAACAGGAUUAGAUACCCCCGUAGUCCCUGAGCGGGCUGGCAAGGCGCAU